AUCUACAAUGCUUUUCCUAGUGUCCUUCGACAGCUCUUUGGUCUUGGCCAUGGUUGAGUUUGGAGUCUGACUGUUUGAGGCUGUGGACAGGUGUCUUUUAUACAGAUAACGAAUUCCAAUAGAUGUCAUUAAUACAGGUAAUGAAGACAGAGAAAA